ACGUAGGGGGCGAGCGUUGUCCGGAUUUAUUGGGCGUAAAGGGCUCGUAGGCGGCCAACUAAGUCACACGUGAAAUCCCUCGGCUCAACCGGGGACCUGCGUGUGAGACUGGAUGGCUUGAGUUUGGGAGAGGAAUGCGGAAUUCCAGGUGUAGCGGUGAAAUGCGUAGAUAUCUGGAGGAACACCGGUGGCGAAGGCGGCAUUCUGGACCAACACUGACGCUGAGGAGCGAAAGCCAGGGGAGCAAACGGGA
rnacentral:rRNA from 1 species